UACAGAGGGUGCGAGCGUUGUUCGGAAUUACUGGGCGUAAAGCGCGCGCAGGCGGCCUUUUAAGUCUGACGGUGAAAUGCCGGGGCUCAACCCCGUGCCCGCCCGCGGAUACUGGGAGGCUGGAGACAUGUAGAGGCAAGCGGAAUUCCGGGUGUAGCGGUGGAAUGCGUAGAGAUCCGGAAGAACACCGGAGGCGAAGGCGGCUUGCUGGGCAUUGUCUGACGCUGAGGCGCGAAAGCGUGGGGAGCGAACAGG
rnacentral:rRNA from 1 species